rnacentral:rRNA from 1 species
CCUACGGGAGGCAGCAGUGAGGAAUAUUGGUCAAUGGGCGGAAGCCUGAACCAGCCAAGUCGCGUGCAGGAUGACGGCCCUAUGGGUUGUAAACUUCUUUUGUACGGGAGCAACGCGCCGUACGUGUGGGGCUUGGCAUGUACCCUAUGAAUAAGCACCGGCUAAUUCCGUGCCAGCAGCCGCGGUAAUACGGAAGGUCCGGGCGUUAUCCGGAUUUAUUGGGUUUAAAGGGUGCGUAGGCCGCAAGUUAAGUGUACUGUGAAAUUUGCGGGCUAAAACCGGGCCUUGCAGUGCAAACUGGGGUGCUUGAGUGGGCGAGAAGCAGGCGGAAUGCGUGGUGUAGCGGUGAAAUGCAUAGAUAUGACGAAGAACUCCGAUUGCGAAGGCAGCGUGCUGGAGCGGAACUGACGCUGAAGCACGAAAGCGUGGGUAUCGAACAGGAUUAGAUACCCGAGUAGUC